rnacentral:rRNA from 1 species
CAGUAGCCACGGGAAAACGGAGGGGGCUAGCGUUGUUCGGAAUUACUGGGCGUAAAGCGCACGUAGGCGGCUUGGUAAGUUAGAGGUGAAAGCCCGGAGCUCAACUCCGGAAUUGCCUUUAAGACUGCCGAGCUAGCAGGUGAGAGAGGUAAGUGGAAUUCCGAGUGUAGAGGUGAAAUUCGUAGAUAUUCGGAAGAACACCAGUGGCGAAGGCGGCUUACUGGCUCAUACUGGACGCUGAGGUGCGAAAGCGUGGGGAGCAAACAGGAUUAGAUACCCCCGUAGUCCCUGUCUCUUAUAC